rnacentral:rRNA from 1 species
UAGGGAACCUUCGGCAAUGGGGGCAACCCUGACCGAGCAACGCCGCGUGAGUGAAGAAGGUUUUCGGAUCGUAAAGCUCUGUUGUAAGAGAAGAACGUGUGUGAGAGUGGAAAGUUCACACAGUGACGGUAACUUACCAGAAAGGGACGGCUAACUACGUGCUAG